AGUCGGGGGCCCUCACAUGGUGCUGAUGGAUACCCCUAGGAAAUCAGUGAAAUUAGUACACCUGAAUUCCCAGGAGACCCCCGAGGCCCCGGGCGCUGGCCCUGAUCCUAAAGCUGGGAUGACCACCUUCUUCCUGCGGAUGGAGAUUGUAUUACUUUCUUGGGGGAUGGACCCCAUGUGAAUACAGGCAUCUCCGUCCAGCUUGUGAUUCAGACGUGGAAAGUCAAGGUUCUCCCAAACUGCUGGCCAGCUUCCCAGCCGCGGCACCUGUGCUGAGUCCUCUGUGCCCUGCGCCUGAGCUGGGGGUGUGCCAGCCUUGUGCAUAGGUGGUGGGGGGGCACUCUCACACCUUACUCUAGUGUGUCAGUGUGAUUGGCUGUUUACGUUCCAGUUUUUGUGAUUCUUUUUUUAAAGGCAUGGAACCCAUUCCAGGGGACUUUGGUGGUUGGGGGAGGAAUCAGAAACUAGAUAACCACCAGAGGGUGUUUCCAAGAAUCAUUACUUCCUGAUCUUGCACACUCAAAUCCUUAGCUUGUAGAAAAAUAAAGAUACCAAGUGUCACCAC